ACCUCGGUGUCCACGCUGUCCCCGCAGCCCGGCAGCGUUGACGGACUGGACAAAACUUCUAUAGCAAACUCAGAUGGCCCCACAGCAGGUUCCCAAACACCUCCCUUCAAAAGAAAGGGGAAACUAUCCACCAUUGGUAAAAUCUUUAAGCCUUGGAAAUGGAGGAAAAAGAAGACCAGCGACAAAUUUAGAGAAACCUCAGCAGGUAUGAGUAUCAUAACUGGUUAGAAGAUGGGAUAAACUGUAAAAUGUUUUAAAAGGUAGAAAAUUAUGUUUUACAGUGUGUUUUUUCCCAGAAAAAAAUUAAUCCAUAUUUGAAAUGAAAUUCUUUAUUUUAAGAAUAAAAUAAGGAUGAAAC
rnacentral:sRNA from 1 species